UAAGGAGACCCUCGCAGAGUUGCUUCUCUCCUGCCUGACCAUGCCGCUUGCUGGUGAGUGUUUCUGCCCUGUAGCUGCCACAGCGCUGCCAUUCUUUUCUGACAUCAGUUCUCAGCCUCUUUGCAGUGUGGAUUAAAGAACAGCUUCUCUCCAGGAAUCCUCCAGAAAUCGAGUGACCGAUUGGGACUGCUGAGACUUCCAGCCUUGGGGACAGGGCUCUCAACCUCUCCAGUGUGUGGACAGCAUUUGCUGACUAUUCAGAAUACCCAGGAGGUGUUGUGCAAGCCUGUCUGCUAAGUGUCCUGUAUAAUAUAUGUUCAAUCUAUUGGUUCUAGGGAACCCUGAUUGAUUUUGACAUGUUUACUACAAAUCUUUAAUCUGUACAUUUUUAAUUAGAUUUAUGCAUUUUACUUCAUGUAUGGGUAUUUUACCUACCUGUAUGUCUGUUCGCAGUGUACAUGCUUGGUGCCUAUGGAGGUCAGAAGGGGCAUCGGAUCCUCUAGAACUGGAGUUACAGGUUUGGGAGUAACUUCUGCGAAAUACUUUGGUUUUUAUCAUCAACAAGUUGCAUCUUGGGACUAAUUACUUUUACAAAUGAUUUAAAACUGAUUAUUUUACCUUCCUUUAGGGGAAUGAAUUUCUUUUGUCUUCCCUCCAAAUCAAGUGAUGUCAUAUUUGGGUUCUGCAUUUCUUUAUGGACUUAUCAGUCACUAUUUCACUACAUAUAUAGAAUAUGCAUAUAUUUGAUUAUCAUUUCCAAUUCUAUUGGGCAAUAAUUUAUAUAAAGUGAAUUUUACAUAUUUAAAGUAUCUAUUUUAGCUUUGGUACUUGGCUACACCCAGCAAAUCAUCAUAAUUAUUAAUAAAGAGAAUGUCUGUAUGGCCCUGAAA